rnacentral:rRNA from 1 species
UACGUAGGGUGCAAGCGUUUGUCCGGAAUUAUUGGGCGUAAAGAGCUCGUAGGCGGCCUGUUGCGUCCGCUGUGAAAGCCCGGGGCUUAACCCCGGGUCUGCAGUGGAUACGGGCAGGCUAGAGGUAGGUAGGGGAGAAUGGAAUUCCCGGUGUAGCGGUGAAAUGCGCAGAUAUCGGGAGGAACACCGGUGGCGAAGGCGGUUCUCUGGGCCUUACCUGACGCUGAGGAGCGAAAGCGUGGGGAGCGAACAGG